rnacentral:rRNA from 1 species
ACUCCUACGGGAGGCAGCAGUGGGGAAGUAUUGCACAAUGGGCGCAAGCCUGAUGCAGCCAUGCCGCGUGUGUGAAGAAGGCCUUCGGGUUGUAAAGCACUUUCAGUCGUGAGGAAGGUGGUAGUGUUAAUAGCACUAUCAUUUGACGUUAGCGACAGAAGAAGCACCGGCUAACUCCGUGCCAGCAGCCGCGGUAAUACGGAGGGUGCGAGCGUUAAUCGGAAUUAGCUGGGCGUAAAGCG